UACAGAGGGUGCGAGCGUUAAUCGGAAUUACUGGGCGUAAAGCGUGCGUAGACGGUAGCGUAAGUCAGAUGUGAAAGCCCCGGGCUCAACCUGGGAAUGGCAUUUGAUACUCAAGGGCUCGAGUACGGGAGAGGAGAGUGGAAUUCCCAGUGUAGAGGUGAAAUUCGUAGAUAUUGGGAAGAACACCGGUGGCGAAGGCGGCUCUCUGGACCGUAACUGACGCUGAGGCGCGAAAGCGUGGGGAGCAAACAGG
rnacentral:rRNA from 1 species